GCAGGGUGAACAACGUCGACAGGACGCUAGAACCCCUACUGCUGGGCGGAACCAAGGCAGAGUGGACGAUGUCGACAAGACGAUAAAACAUACAUUCCUGUUUUUUAUCCCAAGGCGCUGCCUCCAGCCAGACAUUUAAGGAAAGAAGUAAAGGAGGCAGCUCAAGGAAGGUGUGUGCUUCCAUUCCAAAGACAAUCACCUCCGUAACGUGCUGGGCACACACAGAAAGGUCUCUCUCCUGGAACCAGUUAUCAUUCCACGGAAAAUCGAAAAACUACAUCCUCAGGUCAUCACAUGGAGAUGAAGCAAAAUGCCGGAAGCACCACCUUUUCGUCGGUAAACUUCGCUAUUUAUUUAGAGCCAAGAAAAGAUGGCGCCACUAUAAAAACACUUGCCUGCGCCAUGACGGGCUGGGGUCGACUACCAUCCAGGCCCCUCAAGAAAGCCUACAGCCACUAAAGGCCGACAUAAAAAAAAAAAAAAAAAAAAAAAAAAAUAAAAGAAAAAAAAAAAGUAGUCUUGUAAUUCCAGUUUUCUAGGUAUUAUCCCAUCUACAUUGGUAUACAUCACAAUUAAACCCUUAGUUGUUCCAAUUUUGUCUAGUUUAUGUUCACUUUUGGCUUUUCCCUUGUUUACCAUUUCUUUACCGUCUCCCAACUCCCUCAAAAAUUAUUUUCUUCCUCUUCUGCUGUUCUUGCACUAUUCUUCUCCUUUACCUCUGCUUGCAAUUCAUUCCAUUUUUUCCUUUUUUUCGCAUUUCUAUUCUUCUUUAUAUAUAUUUAUAUAUAUACGUAUAUUUUUUUUUUAACCCAUCCGCUGCGACGAACAAAUUUUGCCUUCACUGGUAGCCUGGUAACAUACAGUCCCAGGUCUUUCUCUGCCUUUAUGGUGGAUAGUGGAGUGUUUACCAUGUGGUAUUGGUGUGCUGGAUAUCCCCUCCCAAGGUGCAGGACUUUACAUUUUCCUUCAUUGAAUUGUAGCAGCCACUUUCUGUUCCAUUCCUCAAGCUUGGUGAUGACUUCUUGAAGGAAAUCCGCAGUCAACGGGUUAAGAGUAGGUGUGUAUAUGGCACUAUAACUUACUGUUACACUUAUUUAUUGCUGGUUUUAUAUUGUACACCACUGACUUUUCAAUAUCUGAUGAUGGACGAUGUAAAAACAAUAAAUAUAGAAGUAUGCUACUUGCUUCCCACCAAAGUAAUACACAUUUACAAAUCUAAAGUCCAAUGCAAAUCACCUUGAUGUGAGCUCAGUUUCCUUCUCUUUAUGAAAGUAAGAGGUAGAAAAAUACUUUAGUGUACUUCUAUCAGAUAGACAACUGUUACCUUCAAUAAGCUUGCCCAAAACAAUAUUGCCAACUGACAGGUAAGCAUUUCAUCACCUCUUCAUCUUUUAAAACUCCAUCUACAUGCCAACUUGUGACUUGGCUUAGCUUUCUCCCUAAUGGGCACAAGUGAGGUGUUUCACACUGAUGUGGUCUAUAAAUACUGUGGGCACACAUUCACCAUCUAUAGCAAGUAAUUGUUCACACCAAAAGAUGUCUUGAGAGCUUGGCCUGUGACUUUGACUCUUAUUGGCAGGUGAUAAAUACACUUAAAUAUUUGAAGUUCUAAACUGAAGUCUGAGAACUGAGGUCAUUAGCAAGGUCAGGUAACUUCCUUCACCUCAGACCACUUCUCAAACUGAUUGAUCCAGUGUACAUACCUGAAGAGAGCUAUGACAAGAAUAAUCAAUGGCACAGUUAGCUAUUCAGGUGUGUAACUAACCCUGCCCCAGUCAGGUAUCCAGUAUUGCAGCUGGUGUGAACAACUUCACUGCAAAGUGACAUUGCUCUCCAUCUGCAACUGGGUUAGCAACACAUCUUGAAUGUCAGUUAUUUGCU